UUUGACUGGGGCGGUCUCCUCCUAAAGAGUAACGGAGGAGCACGAAGGUUGGCUAAUCCUGGUCGGACAUCAGGAGGUUAGUGCAAUGGCAUAAGCCAGCUUGACUGCGAGCGUGACGGCGCGAGCAGGUGCGAAAGCAGGUCAUAGUGAUCCGGUGGUUCUGAAUGGAAGGGCCAUCGCUCAACGGAUAAAAGGUACUCCGGGGAUAACAGGCUGAUACCGCCCAAGAGUUCAUAUCGACGGCGGUGUUUGGCACCUCGAUGUCGGCUCAUCACAUCCUGGGGCUGAAGUAGGUCCCAAGGGUAUGGCUGUUCGCCAUUUAAAGUGGUACGCGAGCUGGGUUUAGAACGUCGUGAGACAGUUCGGUCCCUAUCUGCCGUGGGCGCUGGAGAACUGAGGGGGGCUGCUCCUAGUACGAGAGGACCGGAGUGGACGCAUCACUGGUGUUCGGGUUGUCAUGCCAAUGGCACUGCCCGGUAGCUAAAUGCGGAAGAGAUAAGUGCUGAAAGCAUCUAAGCACGAAACUUGCCCCGAGAUGAGUUCUCCCUGACUCCUUGAGAGUCCUGAAGGAACGUUGAAGACGACGACGUUGAUAGGCCGGGUGUGUAAGCGCAGCGAUGCGUUGAGCUAACCGGUACUAAUGAACCGUGAGGCUUAACCUUACAACGCCGAAGGUGUUU
rnacentral:rRNA from 1 species